rnacentral:rRNA from 1 species
GACGAACGCUGGCGGCGUGCCUAAUACAUGCAAGUAGAACGCACAGUUUAUACCGUAGCUUGCUACACCAUAGACUGUGAGUUGCGAACGGGUGAGUAACGCGUAGGUAACCUGCCUGGUAGCGGGGGAUAACUAUUGGAAACGAUAGCUAAUACCGCAUAAUAUUGAUUAUUGCAUGAUAAUUAAUUGAAAGGUGCAAUUGCACCACUACCAGAUGGACCUGCGUUGUAUUAGCUAGUAGGUGAGGUAACGGCUCACCUAGGCGACGAUACAUAGCCGACCUGAGAGGGUGAUCGGCCACACUGGGACUGAGACACGGCCCAGACUCCUACGGGACGCAGCAGUAGGGAAUCUUCGGCAAUGGACGAAAGUCUGACCGAGCAACGCCGCGUGAGUGAAGAAGGUUUUCGGAUCGUAAAGCUCUGUUGUAAGAGAAGAACGGGUGUGAGAGUGGAAAGUUCACACUGUGACGGUAUCUUACCAGAAAGGGACGGCUAACUACGUG